rnacentral:sRNA from 1 species
CGCUCAUUUCCGGCAAAUGUGCGCCGUGUCACUUCACAGUUUGCUACGCUGUCAGUAUCAUCCCUUGUAGACAAACCCUCGCUGCCCGUCGGCGAGGGUUUUUCUUUGGA